AAUAGAUACCCCGGUAGUCCACGCCGUAAACGAUGAGUGCUAAGUGUUAGAGGGUUUCCGCCCUUUAGUGCUGCAGCUAACGCAUUAAGCACUCCGCCUGGGGAGUACGGCCGCAAGGCUGAAACUCAAAGGAAUUGACGGGGGCCCGCACAAGCGGUGGAGCAUGUGGUUUAAUUCGAAGCAACGCGAAGAACCUUACCAGGUCUUGACAUCCUCUGCCAACCCUAGAGAUAGGGCGUUCCCCUUCGGGGGACAGAGUGACAGGUGGUGCAUGGUUGUCGUCAGCUCGUGUCGUGAGAUGUUGGGUUAAGUCCCGCAACGAGCGCAACCCUUGAUCUUAGUUGCCAGCAUUCAGUUGGGCACUCUAAGGUGACUGCCGGUGACAAACCGGAGGAAGGUGGGGAUGACGUCAAAUCAUCAUGCCCCUUAUGACCUGGGCUACACACGUGCUACAAUGGACGGUACAAAGAGCUGCGAACCCGCGAGGGUAAGCGAAUCUCAUAAAGCCAUUCUCAGUUCGGAUUGUAGGCUG
rnacentral:rRNA from 1 species